UACGUAGGGGGCAAGCGUUAUCCGGAUUUACUGGGUGUAAAGGGAGCGUGGACGGCGAUGCAAGCCAGAUGUGAAAGCCCGGGGCUCAACCCCGGGACUGCAUUUGGAACUGUAUAGCUAGAGUGUCGGAGAGGCAGGCGGAAUUCCUAGUGUAGCGGUGAAAUGCGUAGAUAUUAGGAGGAACACCAGUGGCGAAGGCGGCCUGCUGGACGAUGACUGACGUUGAGGCUCGAAAGCGUGGGGAGCAAACAGG
rnacentral:rRNA from 1 species